rnacentral:rRNA from 1 species
AUUGAACGCUGGCGGCAGGCCUAACACAUGCAAGUCGAGCGAGCGGCGGACGGGUGAGUAAUGUAUGGGGACUGCCCGAUAGAGGGGGAUAACUACUGGGAACGCUAGCUAAUACCCCGUACUAUUGGAUUAAUCAUAGGGGAUUAGCUAGUAGGUGAGGUAAUGGCUUACCUAGGCGACGAUGCCUAGCUGGCCUGAGAGGAUGAUCAGCCACACUGGGACUGAGACACGGUCCAGACUCCUACGGAGGCAGCAGUGGGGAAUAUUGGACAAUGGGCGAAAGCCUGAUGCAGCCAUGCCGCGUGUGUGAAGAAGGCCUUAGGAUUGUAAAGUACUUUCAGUCGAGAGGCGUUACCGAAAGAAGAAGCACCGGCUAACUCCGUGCCAGCAGCCGCGGUAAUUC